GACGAACGCUGGCGGCGUGCUUAACACAUGCAAGUCGAACGGAAAGGCCCUGCUUUUGUGGGGUGCUCGAGUGGCGAACGGGUGAGUAACACGUGAGUAACCUGCCCUUGACUUUGGGAUAACGUCAGGAAACUGGGGCUAAUACCGGAUAGGAGCUCCUGCUGCAUGGUGGGGGUUGGAAAGUUUCGGCGGUUGGGGAUGGACUCGCGGCUUAUCAGCUUGUUGGUGGGGUAGUGGCUUACCAAGGCUUUGACGGGUAGCCGGCCUGGGAGGGUGACCGGCCCCAUUGGGCCUGAGCUACGGCCCAGCCUCCUACGGGAGGCAGCGGUGGGGAAUAUUGCACAAUGGGCGGAAGCCUGAUGCAGCAACGCCGCGUGCGGGAUGACGGCCUUCGGGUUGUAAACCGCUUUCGCCUGUGACGAAGCGUGAGUGACGGUAAUGGGUAAAGAAGCACCGGCUAACUACGUG
rnacentral:rRNA from 1 species